CACCGCGGUUAUACGAGUAACUCAUAUUAACACACCCCGGCGUAAAGAGUGAUUAAAGAAUGACCUCUAACUACUAAAGUUUAGACCUCAUAAAACUGUUAUACGUAUCCAUGAGUGGAAUAAACAACAACGAAAGUGACUUUAUAUAUUAAGGAACCUUGAUGUCACGACAGUUGGGACCCAAACUAGGAUUAGAUACCCUACUAUGCCCAACCACAAACUUAAACAACAUCCCACUAUAUUGUUCGCCAGAGUACUACAAGCGCUAGCUUAAAACCCAAAGGACUUGGCGGUAUCCCAUACCCACCUAGAGGAGCCUGUUCUAUAACCGAUAAUCCCCGUUCAACCUCACCACUUCUUGCCAUUACCGUCUAUAUACCGCCGUCGUCAGCCCACCCUGUGAAGGACUAAAAGUAAGCAAAAAGAAUAAAACUCCAAAACGUCAGGUCGAGGUGUAGCAAAUGAAGUGGGAAGAAAUGGGCUACAUUUUUUUUCAAAAACAUACGAAUGGUAAACUGAAAACAUACCUAAAGGUGGAUUUAGCAGUAAGAGGAGAUCAGAAUACUCCCCUGAAAUCGGCUCUGGGAUAAGCACACACCGCCCGUCACUCUCCUCAAAAACAACCUAUCCUUUUUCAUAAACACAUCUCUUUAAUAAGAGGAGGCAAGUCGUAACAUGGUAAGUG
rnacentral:rRNA from 1 species